CGGGGCGUAGCACAGUUGGUAGCGCGCAGCGUUUGGGACGCUGAGGUCGCAGGUUCAAGUCCUGUCGCCCCGACCA
rnacentral:tRNA from 1 species